AAAAAUAAAAUAAAAG
rnacentral:sRNA from 1 species